GCUUGUCUUUUAAUAAAAAAAUGUCUUAAAUAUACGGAAUGCCUUAAUAAAAUGUUGUUCUUUAUUAUUACUAUUAUGGUCACGAUUGUUCAAUUUCCUUGGGUAGCAAAAACGUUAUUGUUUUUAUCAGACGUUUUGUAUUUGUUCCGUUUAAUAAUAAAAUUAAUUAAAGGCCUAGUUUAAGAAGUUGCAGAGGAGCUGUCGAUGCAUGAUAAAGAAAUCUACUUACGGUCAACGAACUCAGGUGUCUCAAAGCGCAAGACGUUGUUGCCGACGUCAGUGAUCGCUCUCACAAGCCUAGGUAUAAUAUUGCCGAGGAAUCCGGAGGUGGGAAUAUCUGGAAGUAGGACUCCUUCGUUGAACAAAGUGUCUAUUGCUGAGAAAUAUGGAAAUCCGAGAUCAGGGUCGACCACAAUUGUCUUGAGCGCCGGCACCAACGCAUGAACCACUGAGUAGAUCGUUUUUGCUUGGAACGUAGCUUGCUUUAUUUCGGAAAAUGCUUCGUCGCGUGGAACAUACAUCUCGGAGGCCUUAGACUCGGAUAAUGGAUCUGUCGUGUAUAGAAGAAUUAGGUUUAAUUGAAUUACGUAGCAAAUGCAUGUGUGAUGGGCUGACCUCGUUUAGUUCUUGGGCGGCCAGUUCUGCAGCGGCGAGGAUAGGGAUGGUCGGGCCCGCCGAGAACGGGGCGGGCCAAAUCGGCGUCGUCGUUGUCCGGGUCGCCGAGGUCGUUGUAGACGUCGUAAUCGUAGAUCCUAUCAGAGGUCUUGCGCUCUCCUUCGCCGUCUCCUCGAAGAAUGUCGAGCUCUUUCGAUCUGAGUCUUUUCAGCCCGCUUGGAGUUUCGGAUGGCAAGUAUGACUACAUAAA
rnacentral:lncRNA from 1 species